rnacentral:lncRNA from 10 species
CUUCUUUCAAAUCUAAAUUUAGCAAAUAUCUUUCAAUAUUACACUUUUCUCCUUUGAAACUUGAAGGCUUUGGGCAUUUAAGAAUCAGUGUUUCAGCUGCAAUGCUUCUGAGAGGAAGGGAGAUUUUCAAAGAGCCUUUGUCAGCCCAGGAGUGAGUGAGUUAAUCCAUCCACCUGCCCCAACUGAGAGCAGAAGACACUGUUUAUAGGACUGAAGACAGAGGUGCUGGGUGCAAGGACUGAGACUAAGAAUGGAAAUGCGAGAACCAGGAUUCAGGGUAAAAGAAAAAAAGAAACUGCCUGGCAUACAGUAAGGAUUUAUUACUCCUCCUCCCUUCCCAAGAAGAAUGUGUUGCCCCCGAGACUUCUGGUUGAUCUUAAGGCUGGAGUGCAGUGGCACGAUCUCAGCUCACCGCAACCUCCACCUCCCAGGUUCAAGUGAUUCUCCUGCCUCAGCCUCCCGAGUAGCUGGGAUUACAGGCACCCGCUAACAUGCCCUUCUAACCCAGUGUUCAACUCCCCGCAAAACUUUCCCAGAGCCAUCUGAAGCCCACGGCAUUCUGUUCCAAGAUGAGUUAAAUGAGAAGCAAAGGCUGUAAACGACUAAUGCAGUCUAUGUAACUAGAAAUAAAUUACUGUCUAUGUGUAAAC